GAUGAAGAACGUAGCGAAAUGCGAUAAGUAAUGUGAAUUGCAGAAUUCAGUGAAUCAUCGAAUCUUUGAACGCACAUUGCGCCCGCCAGUAUUCUGGCGGGCAUGCCUGUCCGAGCGUCAUUUCAACCCUCGAACCCCUCCGGGGGGUCGGCGUUGGGGAUCGGCCCUUUCACCGGGUGCCGGCCCCUAAAUACAGUGGUGGUCUCGCCGCAGCCUCUCAUGCGCAGUAGUUUGCACACUCGCACCGGGAGCGCGGCGCGUCCUCGUCCGUAAAACACCCCAAACUUCUGAAAUGUUGACCUCGGAUCAGGUAGGAAUACCCGCUGAACUUAAGCAUAUCAAUAAGCGGAGGA
rnacentral:misc_RNA from 1 species